rnacentral:rRNA from 1 species
AACUUCCGUUAAUUGAUUAUGACGUACUUGUACUGAUUGAGAUUUUAACACGAAGUGAGUGGCGAACGGGUGAGUAACACGUGGGUAACCUGCCCAGAAGUAGGGGAUAACACCUGGAAACAGAUGCUAAUACCGUAUAACAGAGAAAACCGCAUGGUUUUCUUUUAAAAGAUGGCUCUGCUAUCACUUCUGGAUGGACCCGCGGCGUAUUAGCUAGUUGGUGAGGUAAAGGCUCACCAAGGCAGUGAUACGUAGCCGACCUGAGAGGGUAAUCGGCCACAUUGGGACUGAGACACGGCCCAGACUCCUACGGGAGGCAGCAGUAGGGAAUCUUCCACAAUGGACGCAAGUCUGAUGGAGCAACGCCGCGUGAGUGAAGAAGGGUUUCGGCUCGUAAAGCUCUGUUGUUAAAGAAGAACGUGGGUAAGAGUAACUGUUUACCCAGUGACGGUAUUUAACCAGAAAGCCACGGCUAACUACGUGCCAGCAGCCGCGGUAAUACGUAGGUGGCAAGCGUUAUCCGGAUUUAUUGGGCGUAAAGCGAGCGCAGGCGGUCUUUUAAGUCUAAUGUGAAAGCCUUCGGCUCAACCGAAGAAGUGCAUUGGAAACUGGGAGACUUGAGUGCAGAAGAGGACAGUGGAACUCCAUGUGUAGCGGUGAAAUGCGUAGAUAUAUGGAAGAACACCAGUGGCGAAGGCGGCUGUCUGGUCUGCAACUGACGCUGAGGCUCGAAAGCAUGGGUAGCGAACAGGAUUAGAUACCCUGGUAGUCCAUGCCGUAAACGAUGAUUACUAAGUGUUGGAGGGUUUCCGCCCUUCAGUGCUGCAGCUAACGCAUUAAGUAAUCCGCCUGGGGAGUACGACCGCAAGGUUGAAACUCAAAAGAAUUGACGGGGGCCCGCACAAGCGGUGGAGCAUGUGGUUUAAUUCGAAGCUACGCGAAGAACCUUACCAGGUCUUGACAUCUUCUGACAGUCUAAGAGAUUAGAGGUUCCCUUCGGGGACAGAAUGACAGGUGGUGCAUGGUUGUCGUCAGCUCGUGUCGUGAGAUGUUGGGUUAAGUCCCGCAACGAGCGCAACCCUUAUUACUAGUUGCCAGCAUUAAGUUGGGCACUCUAGUGAGACUGCCGGUGACAAACCGGAGGAAGGUGGGGACGACGUCAAAUCAUCAUGCCCCUUAUGACCUGGGCUACACACGUGCUACAAUGGAUGGUACAACGAGUCGCGAGACCGCGAGGUUAAGCUAAUCUCUUAAAACCAUUCUCAGUUCGGACUGUAGGCUGCAACUCGCCUACACGAAGUCGGAAUCGCUAGUAAUCGCGGAUCAGCAUGCCGCGGUGAAUACGUUCCCGGGCCUUGUACACACCGC